UACUGUUGCUUACUAUUCCCCAGCAACAGUGGUGCAUGUCCCUUCACCCAAUUGAAUCGUAAGUGUUAUUUUUGUUUUCAAUGAAAAGAGGAUGCUAUUUAGAUAGUUUUAAAAGUUGUUGGGCAGUAAAUUAAAAAAAUAAAAUAGAAGGCAGGAAAAAGAAAGAUUAUUUCCUUCCAUUCUUUCUCUUUCUUUUAAAUCACACACAAUUUGAUAUUUUGUAUAUGAUCAUUUAGAAAGUACUCAAAACAUGAUUUUUCAUAUAUUAAUGUUGUUCGUUUUAAUUUUAUAAUUCUAAUAACAUUAAUUUUAAUAUAUUUUAUUCAAUUUUGUUUCUAAGUAUUAUAUCGAUAUUAUAAAAUAUUACAAUUUCAUAAAAAUUGGAGUACAUUCAUAUAAUAACGAUAUUUUACUCAUGUUAUAACAUCGUCAUGGGAGAAUGAAAGAUAUUAAUGUCAUAAUUUGAUACCUAAUUUGAUAAAUAAAUUUACACAAAAACUCUUAACCUUUUUUUCUAAUAACAUUAAGGUCAAA
rnacentral:lncRNA from 1 species